rnacentral:rRNA from 1 species
CCCACCAUCCCCUGGCUUUCUCCCUUGUGGAAGGCCCCUCUGCCUUUAAAGAUUAAGAUUUUUGUGUGGCAACUACUAAGAGUUCGCAUUCUUUUGGGGACCGAGGAGCUUAAGCGGCAUGGCCUGGGUGACGGCUUGUGCCCCUUAUGCGCGACACUGGAGACUGGGACUCACACCCUAUUCUCAUGUACGGUGGCUCGGGUCCUAUGGACGUUCGUCCGUGAUGCACUGGGGCCUGACUGGGAGGCCCUGGACGUCGUGGAGUUCCUACAGACCAAGGCUACCCAACCUGGGCGAUAUCGCCGCUUAUUCUGGCUUAUUGGCGAUGUCGUGGACACUAUGGACGACACGUAA